rnacentral:tRNA from 1 species
GAUUGGCCUCGCGCACGCCGGCCAGGCGCUGGCGCUCCAGGCGCGCACGCUCGACGUCGAGCGCGGUGGGCGCAUGUUCGACCCGGCCGCCGGUCGC